GCAGCAUCCACAAGUAGGGAGGAGAACAAGAUUCGAGAGACAGUCUCAAAGGCACAGUCAACAAAUGUAUUGGUUAGCUCAGUCUACUUCGUCCACACGCUGAAGAUUAACUUUGGUUAUUUGGAGCUUCGGCUCAGAACUACCUUAUAAGGCAGUAUCAUCAUGGCUCCUUUAUAUGAGGAAGCUGAGCUCGGAGAUCCAGUCAUCCAAGAGAUGGCUCCUGAGAUACAUCUCAACAAGCUGCGUGAAAAACAAGAACUUGAUAGUCCAGCUGUUACCAAAUGGGAAACUUCCUAUUAUUCCAAGAAAAACCAGACUCUGCAAUCUCUGCAAUAAAUAUUGGAGUAAUGUAACCCAUCGGGAGGCCUGGAGAGACUGCAAUACCUUGGGAAUAUGCUGUCAGACGGAGCUUCUGUGAGCUGUGGCAGACUGGGACUCCCUCUGGUCAAGGUAUGGCCUCACAAUUUCCUGUUUUCCUGGCUGCUGCCUCUGCUGCUGCACUCACAUUAGAUGGACUCCCUAGAGGUGAUCUCUUCCCAGUGCUCCGACAGGGACCCUAUUCUCCAAGCAAAGUUAAUUCACAUCAUAUGGGGGGAACAAAUUACUCCCAGAUAGUGGUUUAUUUUCUUUGGCUCUUCAUAGGAUCAGACCCGAUAAUAAACAUCUUAAUAAUGAUGAUAAUGAUGCUGUAGAAAUGCAAAGUCUUCAGAUUGUUAUUUUUGCAGAAGACCAUUUAAUAAUUCUAAUUUUGCUGCGUAUUUCUAUUGGCCAGGCAAUUGUUUCGU